AAGAACAGCUAUUUUUUAGGAUACCUUUUUCCAUCAGCAGGGCAUCUGCACACAUCUUAUGCCAUUCGUAGCAUCGUUGGCCAAGCCCCUUGAGGAACUAUGGAUCAGCCGACCAUGAUAAUAAAUUAAGGCUGGCCAGCAACAAUGUCUCUGACGCCAACCACGUCCUGAGCCGUGAUACAAAUCGUUACCACCAAACCGGAGAUACAGGGUUCCACGAUUUAUAACAAGAUGGAGCUGUAGUGAUGCCAGAACAUUUCCAGGCUUGAUCUGACAAUAAAUAUCAUCAUCAUCAUCAUCAUCAUCAUCAUCAUCAUCAUCAUC